UGGCAGGAUCAACCAGGUAGCUUUCCUUUUCGACGUCGCCAAUCGCGUCCAAACUAGUCAACACGCGACCGGCAGUCGUUUUGGAGAAGCGAUAACGCUUGACGAGGGUAGACAUAAGGCCACGAAAGCCCAACACCCGCACAAGUUUUCAGCAUCCAAGAGACCAGACGAUGCCCAACGAUCCAUGUCGCCGACGCAACAGAGCCGGCUGGACGGAUCGCUGAGACCGCUUCAAGGUCCACCCCACGUCACAUGAGCGUCGUAAGGUGAAAAGGGACAUCGAUACGGCCAAAAAAUUCCAUCCGAUAGGUAUGCGACACAGGAAGCCCAACCGAUGCGCAGGGAAAAAUUGACCCUGACGCACAAAUGAAGAGGCAUGCACAGGUGGACGUUGCUGCGCAAGCAGACAUCCAACCACCCGAAACAAGCCAAUCACCACUCACGCACCGUUACGGCCUUCAUUCCCUAAAAUCCCCACACAAUCCUGCCACACACAUGACACGAAUGUCAAACGAGCAACAAAACGCAUGAAAGGAUCCCCAGAAGGC
rnacentral:misc_RNA from 1 species